GGUUUAGCGGCGGACGGGUGAGUAACACGUGGGCAACCUGCCCUGCAGAUCGGGAUAACUCCGGGAAACCGGUGCUAAUACCGAAUAGUUUGCAGCCUCUCCUGAGGCUGCACGGAAAGACGGUUUCGGCUGUCACUGCAGGAUGGGCCCGCGGCGCAUUAGCUAGUUGGUGGGGUAAUGGCCUACCAAGGCGACGACGGGUAGCCGGCCUGAGAGGGUGAUCGGCCACACUGGGACUGAGACACGGCCCAGACUCCUACGGGAGGCAGCAGUAGGGAAUCUUCCGCAAUGGACGAAAGUCUGACGGAGCAAUGCCGCGUGAGUGACGAAGGUUUUCGGAUCGUAAAACUCUGUUGUAAGGGAAGAACAAGUACCAAGUAACUACUGGUACCUUGACGGUACCUUACCAGAAAGCCACGGCUAACUACGUGCCAGCAGCCGCGGCAAUACGUAGGUGGCAAGCGUUGUCCGGAAUUAUUGGGCGUAAAGCGCGCGCAGGCGGUCCCUUAAGUCUGAUGUGAAAGCCCACGGCUCAACCGUGGA
rnacentral:rRNA from 1 species